rnacentral:rRNA from 1 species
UUCCAGGCCCUUUACGGGGCGCAGUAGGCGCGAAAACUUUACAAUGCGGGAAACCGUGAUAAGGGGACACCGAGUGCCAGCAUCACAUGUUGGCUGUCCAGAUGUGUAAAAUACAUCUGUUAGCAAGGGCCGAGCAAGACCGGUGCCAGCCGCCGCGGUAACACCGGCGGCCCGAGUGGUGAUCGUGAUUAUUGGGUCUAAAGGGUCCGUAGCCGGUUUGGUCAGUCCUCCGGGAAAUCUGACGGCUCAACCGUUAGGCUUUCGGUGGAUACUGCCAGACUUGGAACCGGGAGAGGUAAGAGGUACUACAGGGGUAGGAGUGAAAUCUUGCAAUCCCUGUGAGAUCACCUGUGGCGAAGGCGUCUUACCAGAACGGGUUCGACGGUGAGGGACGAAAGCUGGGGGCACGAACCGGAUUAGAUACCCGGGUAGUCCCAGCCGUAAACGAUGCUCGCUAGGUGUCAGGCACGGCGCGACCGUGUCUGGUGCCGCAGGGAGGCCGUGAAGCUGAGCCACCUGGGAAGUACGGCCGCAAGGCUGAAACUUAAAGGAAUUUGGCGGGGGAG